GACUUUGUAGCUUAGACAGUAGAGCAUCGUCCUAGAAAUGCGAAGGUCGCGGGUUCGAAUCCCAGCCGCGGUCA
rnacentral:tRNA from 1 species